CCCUUAGAUGUUCUGGGCUGCACGCGCGCUACACUGAUGCACUCAACGAGUUUACGACCUUGCCCGAUAGGGUUGGGUAAUCUUUUUAAAAUGCAUCGUGAUGGGGAUAGAUUAUUGCAAUUAUUAAUCUUCAACGAGGAAUUCCUAGUAAGCGCGAGUCAUCAGCUCGUGCUGAUUACGUCCCUGCCCUUUGUACACACCGCCCGUCGCUCCUACCGAUUGAAUGUGUUGGUGAGGAGCUCGGAUUGGCAGCAGUUGGUGGUUCGCCACCGGCUAUUGCUGAGAAGUCCUCCAAACCGCCCCAUUUAGAGGAAGGAGAAGUCGUAACA
rnacentral:rRNA from 1 species